CUGAGCAGGGAGCCGAUGUGAGACUCGAUCCCAGGACCCUGGCAUCAUGACCUGAGUUGAAGGACUGAGGUUCAGGCUAUAUGCAAGGAUGUGCCUCUUAUGUCUGCGUGGUGCCUGUUCUGACUCUGAACAGCCUUUGCUCUACUGACAGUUCCAUGUAGCCUUCAUGCCCAGUGUGGAGCCCGACAUGGGAACUUGAACUUGCAACCCUGAGAUCAAGACCUGAGCUGAGAUCAAGUGUUGGAUACUUAACCAAAUGAGCCGCCCAGGCACCUGUGUUGAAAACUUUAUCAAAGAAAAGGACAAGAUAGCAUGUCUUUCAAUUACCUGAGUUUAUAUUACCUAAUGGGGUAAGGAUGUCCCCUCCAUACCCUGUGCAACUGGAAUGGUCUUUGGCCAUCUGUCUUCAUAGUGCCUACAAAACCCUUUUUAUUCUGCGAAUUCUAGGAAUUUUACAUCAAACGAUAUUACAUGAUAAUUUUUAACAAACUGAACAUACUACCAUGAAAUUUAAACUUUAUAGAAAAGUAAUCCUUUAUCCCCUAUAUGCUGUGUAAAUCAAGGGUUCUUAUCUAGUCGGAAGGUACAGCUCAGGCCUUUAUAAUAACCAAUUAUUGCUUUAAAAAUCUGGUGUCUGGCACUUUAGAAAAUGGUUGCAUUCAAUUUUCACUAGAUGGCAGCAGAAGACAUUGAUCAGGCUCCAAUGCUGUACUAAACUCCUGUAAGCACUCCUCCCAUAGCUAUUGUCGGAUUCUGGAGUUGGCCUGGGGUUAGUUACCCUUUUCUGCACAUAGAAAGCUUUCUUUAAUUUUUUAUUGGUGGCCCCAAAUCCUGUGGUCACUGGAGCCCUGCUUGUACCUGCUGGCCACCACACAGCCACGUGUCUACCCUUGCCCUUUGCUCGCAUGGGCGAUCUCAAACAUUCCUCCAUGUAGAUUAAAGUUUGAAUGGAGUUGGAGUGAACUUGGCGGUUCCACCUCAUUUAUCAGGUGGCAGCCCCCUCACAAGAAUGCGGUCUUUGAGUUCAUUCUCCUGUCUGCGCGGCCCCCCUCCAACACCUUACCCAGUUAGACAUGAAUCUAUGUAGCCCAGCUGGGUUUCUGGCCAGAUCCCUUUCAUGGACAAUGAGCAGUUUCUCCUCUCAGGAUGAAUUUGGUUUUACUCCAACCUGCAUCUGUCCCACAGGGGAUCCCCUGUCAGAUGCCUCAAAGUUUUCUACAGCAGAGAAUGGGUAAAAGUACUCUUCCACCCAGAUAUUCAGUGCCUUUUUCGCAUUUCCUUCCCCAAUUAGUCUAUUGGUUGAGCUCAAGGCUUUGAAGGUUUACCCUACUGCUGCCAUCACUCUGCGAUGCCAUGGGAAGGUCUUCUUAGAUUCAACCUAAUAUUCACACUCAUAAGACCUAGUCACUAUAGUGACACUGGCCUAUUCAGAAGUCAUAGGACAGGAACCACACAUGCCAGCAAGUCAGUGUCAGAUAUUCCCAACAAUGGGAAUCUUUGGAGCAGUUCACUCAGCAGAUGGCUCAGGUGCAAGAAGAUAAGGGCUACAUAGGGCAGGUACGCAAGUUGCCCUGAUUUCAUGCCCCCUGGCAAACAAUAUCUCUGGAAACAACUGCAAAAUCAUGACUUCUAUGGUCCCCACAAGAGAUUCACAGGUUAGAAAAGGAAUCCAAGCCUGUAGUGACUCUCUGUCCAGAUAAAAGUUCCAAACCAGGGGUCAUUUUUAUCAUAAGCAAUGCUGCCUAGUAACAUUGUUGAGACAUACCAUUUUUAUCUGUUUCCAGGAAAACAUAGUGAGAAAAUUAACCAAAAGUCAGACUCUUAUACAAGGGGAGAAAAGGUUUAAUACAUUACCUAUGCCUAGAAGUUCAAAGAGUCAACUGAAAAACUGUAGUACUUUGUUUAAUGAAAAUGAAUGAAGAGAUCCAACAAAAUGGCCAGAUAUACUUUUUUUGAAGUCUUUGAAUGUAGCAAAGAUUACAUAAUGUAAUAGGAUAAACAUUUCUUUCAUAAUACCAACAGAAACCACAAUUACUUAAUAGAUAUAAUAUACAUGAUAAUAUAACAAAAAAUAUUCGUCCUACAUGACGAAAAACUUAAAACUUGACUGAAAUUCCUGAAUAAAUGAACCAUGUUAAUUGGAUGAAAAGAGUCAAUAUUAUAGAGAUAUAAAUGCUCUCCGAAUAAACUACAAAUGUGGCAUAACUCCAAUAAAAAUUCCAGUAGAGUUUUCUGAGGAAUUUGAAAAAUUGAUCCAAAAUUCACCUGGAAGCAUAUAUGUGUAAGAAAUUUUUGAAAGGAAAAGAGUUGGACUUGUUUUGUAGACAUCAAACCUACUACAAAGUUAUAGUGAUCAAGAAUGCAACUUUGGCCCAGAAAUAGGCAUAUGUAUCAGUAGAAUUGAAUAAUUAUGUUCAGAAACAGAUACUUUAGUUUUAUGUUGAUAUAACUUAUGUAAAACACAUAAAUCUUAUGUGAGCACAGUAUAUUUUUACAUGUGUGUAUUUCUGCUUAGCCACCACGCAGAUAAAGAUAUAGAUUAUUUCGGUUCCCCAAGAGAUUGCUUGUCCUCUGUCCCAGUUGUUAUCAAUCCCCUCAUCAAAAAUAACCAUGGGUCAGUUUUGCCUCUUUAUGAAUUUCAUGUGAAUAGAAUCAUACAGAUGUAACCGUUUGUGGCUGGGUAGUUUUGUCAGCAUUACAUUUGUGAUAUUCAUCCAGGUGCUUGUGUGAAGCAAUAGUUUGUCUUUUUUUUUCAUUAUUAUAGUAUUCCAUUUGGUACAAUAGUAUUUCAUUAUAUGGAUGCGACAAAAUAUGGUCACCCAUUCUAUUGUUGAUGGAAUUGGGGUUGCUUCUAGUUUUUGGUCAUUACAAAUAAAGCUUCUAUGAACAUUC